rnacentral:rRNA from 1 species
AAGCGAGAUGUGAAAGCCCCGGGCUCAACCUGGGAACUGCAUUUCGAACUGGCAAACUAGAGUGUGAUAGAGGGUGGUAGAAUUUCAGGUGUAGCGGUGAAAUGCGUAGAGAUCUGAAGGAAUACCGAUGGCGAAGGCAGCCACCUGGGUCAACACUGACGCUCAUGUACGAAAGCGUGGGGAGCAAACGGGAUUAGAUACCCCGGUAGUCCACGCCGUAAACGAUGUCUACUAGAAGCUCGGAGCCUCGGUUCUGUUUUUCAAAGCUAACGCAUUAAGUAGACCGCCUGGGGAGUACGGCCGCAAGGUUAAAACUCAAAUG